UAGGGAAUCUUCCACAAUGGACGAAAGUCUGAUGGAGCAACGCCGCGUGAGUGAUGAAGGGUUUCGGCUCGUAAAACUCUGUUGUUGGAGAAGAACGGGUGUCAGAGUAACUGUUGACAUCGUGACGGUAUCCAACCAGAAAGCCACGGCUAACUACGUGCCAGCAGCCGCGGUAAUACGUAGGUGGCAAGCGUUGUCCGGAUUUAUUGGGCGUAAAGCGAGCGCAGGCGGUUUUUUAGGUCUGAUGUGAAAGCCUUCGGCUUAACCGGAGAAGUGCAUCGGAAACCGGGAGACUUGAGUGCAGAAGAGGACAGUGGAACUCCAUGUGUAGCGGUGAAAUGCGUAGAUAUAUGGAAGAACACCAGUGGCGAAGGCGGCUGUCUGGUCUGCAACUGACGCUGAGGCUCGAAAGCAUGGGUAGCGAACAGG
rnacentral:rRNA from 1 species